rnacentral:rRNA from 1 species
UUUGGCCUCGGGACGCAGCAGUGGGGGAUAUUGCACAAUGGGGGAAACCCUGAUGCAGCAACGCCGCGUGAGUGAAGAAGUAUUUCGGUAUGUAAAGCUCUAUCAGCAGGGAAGAAAAAAGACGGUACCUGACUAAGAAGCCCCGGCUAACUACGUGCCAGCAGCCGCGGUAAUACGUAGGGGGCAAGCGUUAUCCGGAUUUACUGGGUGUAAAGGGAGCGUAGACGGCAUAGCAAGUCUGAAGUGAAAGCCCGUGGCUCAACCGCGGAACUGCUUUGGAAACUGUUAAGCUGCAGUACUGGAGG